UUCCGGUUGAUCCUGCCGGACCUGACUGCUAUCGGAUUGAUACUAAGCCAUGCGAGUCAUUGUAGCAAUACAAGGCAUACGGCUCAGUAACGCGUAGUCAACCUAACCUAUGGACGGGAAUAACCUCGGGAAACUGAGAAUAAUGCCCGAUAGAACAUUAUGCCUGGAAUGGUUUAUGUUCCAAAUGAUUUAUCGCCGUAGGAUGGGACUGCGGCCUAUCAGUUUGUUGGUGAGGUAAUGGCCCACCAAGACUAUUACAGGUACGGGCUCUGAGAGGAGUAGCCCGGAGAUGGGUACUGAGACACGGACCCAGGCCCUAUGGGGCGCAGCAGGCGAGAAAACUUUGCAAUGUGCGAAAGCACGACAAGGUUAAUCCGAGUGGUUCCUGCUAAAGGAACCUUUUGUUAGUCCUAGAAACACUAACGAAUAAGGGGUGGGCAAGUUCUGGUGUCAGCCGCCGCGGUAAAACCAGCACCUCAAGUGGUCAGGAUGAUUAUUGGGCCUAAAGCAUCCGUAGCCGGCUCUGUAAGUUUUCGGUUAAAUCUGUACGCUUAACGUACAGGCUGCCGGGAAUACUGCAGAGCUAGGGAGUGGGAGAAGUAGACGGUACUCGGUAGGAAGUGGUAAAAUGCUUUGAUCUAUCGAUGACCACCUGUGGCGAAGGCGGUCUACUAGAACACGUCCGACGGUGAGGGAUGAAAGCUGGGGGAGCAAACCGGAUUAGAUACCCGGGUAGUCCCAGCUGUAAACUAUGCAAACUCAGUGAUGCAUUGGCUUGUGGCCAAUGCAGUGCUGCAGGGAAGCCGUUAAGUUUGCCGCCUGGGAAGUACGUACGCAAGUAUGAAACUUAAAGGAAUUGGCGGGGGAGCACCACAAGGGGUGAAGCCUGCGGUUCAAUUGGAUUCAACGCCGGG
rnacentral:rRNA from 1 species